rnacentral:pre_miRNA from 2 species
AUGGGAAUCAUCUAGGAAUCUUGUUAAAUUGCAGAUUCUGAUUCAGGAGGUCUGGGACAGGGCCUAAGGAUCUGUAUUUACAACAAGUUUCCAGAUGAUAUUGAU